ensembl:snoRNA SNORD116 Small nucleolar RNA SNORD116
GGAUCGAUGAUGAUUCCCUCUCUCAAAAUCAUUCUUUGGAAAGCUGAACAAAAUGAGUGACUACUCAAUAUUGCCGUUCUCCUCGACUCUGAGGUCC